UUCCUACGGGGGGCAGCAGUCGGGAAUAUUGCGCAAUGGAGGAAACUCUGACGCAGUGACGCCGCGUAUAGGAAGAAGGUUUUCGGAUUGUAAACUAUUGUCGUUAGGGAAGAUAAAAGACUGUACCUAAGGAGGAAGCCCCGGCUAACUAUGUGCCAGCAGCCGCGGUAAUACAUAGGGGGCAAGCGUUAUCCGGAUUUACUGGGUGUAAAGGGUGCGUAGACGGGAAAGCAAGUUAGUUGUGAAAUCCCUCGGCUUAACUGAGGAACUGCAACUAAAACUGUUUUUCUUGAGUGUCUGAGAGG
rnacentral:rRNA from 1 species